rnacentral:rRNA from 1 species
AUAUACGACCGUACCGCAAACCGACACUGGUGCGCGAGAUGAGUAUUCUAAGGCGCUUGAGAGAACUCAGGAGAAGGAACUCGGCAAAUUGACACCGUAACUUCGGAAGAAGGUGUGCCCUAUUAGUGUGUAGUGAACAACGAAGCAUGAAUGGGUUGCAAAAAAUCGGUGGCUGCGACUGUUUAUUAAAAACACAGCACUCUGCAAACACGAAAGUGGACGUAUAGGGUGUGACGCCUGCCCGGUGCUGGAAGAUUAAAUGAUGGGGUGCAAGCUCUUGAUUGAAGUCCCAGUAAACGGCGGCCGUAACGAUAACGGUCCUAAGGUAGCGAAAUUCCUUGUCGGGUAAGUUCCGACCUGCACGAAUGGCGUAACGAUGGCCACACUGUCUCCUCCUGAGACUCAGCGAAGUUGAAAUGUUUGUGAUGAUGCAAUCUCCCCGCGGAAAGACGGAAAGACCCCAUGAACCUUUACUGUAGCUUUGUAUUGGACUUUGAACAGAUCUGUGUAGGAUAGGUGGGAGGCUUUGAAGCAGGGUCGCUAGAUCUUGUGGAGCCAACGUUGAAAUACCACCCUGGUGUGUUUGAGGUUCUAACCUAGGUCCAUUAUCUGGAUCGGGGACAGUGCAUGGUAGGCAGUUUGACUGGGGCGGUCUCCUCCCAAAGCGUAACGGAGGAGUUCGAAGGUACGCUAGUUACGGUCGGACAUCGUGACGAUAGUGCAAUGGCAUAAGCGUGCUUAACUGCGAGACUGACAAGUCGAGCAGAUGCGAAAGCAGGACAUAGUGAUCCGGUGGUUCUGUAUGGAAGGGCCAUCGCUCAACGGAUAAAAGGUACUCUGGGGAUAACAGGCUGAUACCGCCCAAGAGUUCAUAUCGACGGCGGUGUUUGGCACCUCGAUGUCGGCUCAUCUCAUCCUGGGGCUGUAGCCGGUCCCAAGGGUAUGGCUGUUCGCCAUUUAAAGAGGUACGUGAGCUGGGUUUAAAACGUCGUGAGACAGUUUGGUCCCUAUCUUCCGUGGGCGCUGCAGAUUUGAGGAAGCCUGCUCCUAGUACGAGAGGACCGGAGUGGACACACCUCUGGUGUAUCGGUUGUCACGCCAGUGGCAUUGCCGAGUAGCUAAGUGUGGAAGGGAUAACCGCUGAAAGCAUCUAAGCGGGAAACUCGUUUCAAGAUGAGAUCUGCCGGGGCCUUGAGCCCCCUAAAGAGUCGUUCAAGACCAGGACGUUGAUAGGUCAGGUGUGGAAGC